UAUUAAAAUUUUCAUCUAUUUCUACUCUUAAAAACUAGCGUGGUAUGAAAUAAUCAGAUAGUUACACUUGACAUGCCUCAUAUACCUCAUGCUAACAUAUGGAGACUAGUUUUUAACAGUAGAAAUGGAUGAAACUUAUAAUA
rfam:Gossypium hirsutum cultivar TM-1 chromosome 13, whole genome shotgun sequence